AGGCUAAGAGAAAAUUGAAGCCUUGCAACAGCACGAGAAUGAGGACAUCUAUAAACUAGCAUUUGAAAUCAUAGAUCAGUAUUUCUCUGGUGACGAUAUUGAUGAAGAUCCCAGCCUCAUUCCUGAAGCCACUCAAGGCGGUACUUACAACUUUGACCCAACAGCCAAUCUUCAAACAAAAGAAUUUAAUUUUUAAUUUCAAUACCGUGCAGCUUCUCUGUCCCACACCAAUAAGAAGCACCACCAAAUGGCUACCAAGUGAAAAAAAAAAGGCUCCAAGACACACAUGCCUCCUCGUUUUGAUGCUUCUAAAGCAAGCCAUGUAUCAGUCACUUUGCAGUUGCCAAAAGUCACUAUCACGUGGACUGUAAAUGCAUAUGCAUGAUCUCUUAAAACUGUUUUAGAAUUCUUUUAACAGUCCCAAUUACCUUCUUUUUUUGCCUUUUUCCCUGGUGCCACAUGCUGACAACCGCAAUCUGCAGUUUUGUUAAGAAAAUUUCAUAGUGGUAGCACAUCUGCUUUCCACGGAAAGUAACUUCUUUGGAAAAUGGUGCGCUGUGGAUCAAGACACUUUGGUAUGAUGCAUACAUUUUGGAAGACUUUACAGGGGCACAGUUUGGUCUGAGCCUCCAUCGUCCUCCACAAACAUAUUUUCAUAUACUUUAUGUGGAAGAAUAGAUUAAAAAAUGCAAGCCAAAUGAAUUUCAUUGGUGAAACUGAAAUAAAAGUAACUUACACUUGGCAAUUGAUUAAACAGUUACGUUUAAAAAACAAACUACUUCAUCUAUCAGUAAUUGAUGUGUGUUCAUUAACUGCCUCAGAAACCAGGGUUGGAGAAUGAACUGUAGAUUUGGACUGGUAAAGCUUUUGCCGUUAUACCUAAUUUUUGAGAACAGCGAGUCCUAUUUGACCACUCACUUCAGCCUGUGUGUUCCUGCUGUUUUGAAGUAAUCAGAUGCUGUGCAUGGUAAUUUACCUGAGCUACAACCUGUUAUGGACUUGAACUUCUGUUUAAGCUGAAAGCAAGAGUCCCUGACUAGGAAAAAAAAUCUCCAAAACCACGCAUUGGUUAAAAAGAAUCUUGCUUUCAACUUCCAGUAGUCAGUAUAUUUCGUUUUAAAUUGAUAAUUGGAUAAGGUUGAUUUAUAUUGGGUUUAAACUGUGGAGCUUUCAUGUUUACUGUAAUUUAGUCUUAAACUAUUUUUUACUUAGUAACCAGUGCUUAUGAUGAUGUGGUUGGCAACAAACCAGCAGCUAUUUAGAAGCGUCAUAAAAGCUUCAUUCUUGGAGUAUUGGAAGAGUAAUUCAGAAAUGAAUCUAAAACCAUUUUCAUAUAAUUUAAAAAAAAUACGAACUAGUUGAUGUGUGAGGCUGUUUAGAAGCUGCAUUUUUUCAGCAUAAGCCUGAUAUGCAGCACACAUUAAAUAACUUUAUAUAAGCUGGUAAUAUGUGAGGUUAUUGCUUUUGGAAAAUCGUCUGGCCCAGUUAUUUUCAAAGGGAUUUGCUUUUGGUGGGGUGAAGAUGAAUAAUUUUAAACUGUAAGCUAUCACACAAGCUGGUUUUGUUGCCAUUGUUUACUGGGUGUAAUUUCCCAAUGCAUUGAUGUGAAGGGAUAGAAAAAUCUAAACUAAUUUAGUUAUUGGAUGUGGGUUGUAUUUACUGUGAUGAAGAUAAGGACAGAUGCCAUCAGAGCUUUGUGGAUCAGCUGUUUUUUUUUCCACGGAUGAACAACACAUAGCAGGUGUGCAUUCAUUAAAUAUAUAUCUGCCAAGGUGGAGCCACUUUAAAGAGCGAGUUGUCUUGUAUCUUAAAUAGAUACAAGCGUAUGUUUAAAAUGCAAGAUUUUUACUUGCUAGAUAAUCUGUUUUAAUAUAGUGGUUUGGCCUCUGAUUAUUUAUAGGUUUUAUAAAUUUUAGAAUCAAUUUCUCUUUAAGGUGGCUCAGAUUUUUCAACUCUUGUGCACAUAAAAUUGAGUUGAAGUUCAUUGUGCCUUUUUUCUUUUCCCAAAAGUUGAGUUGAAGCUUCAUAUGGUAACUGCAUCUUAGUCACAUACUAUAGUCUAAAAUCUUUUAACUGCGUGGUGUUCGCAAAAACUAAACAAUAUAAAAUCAAAGUUAGGUAAGGUCACAAAGUUUUGUGAAAUUGAUGAUGAUGUGAGCAAAUCUUCCCCCUCUUAACACUCUAUUUGCCAUAUAGACUGACAGUUACCCAUUUCAGCCUACACUCGCUAUUUUCCUAAAGAUGACAUAAAAAUUGAGAUUACAUUCAUGAUUUUCCAUGACUGUGAAGAUCUAAUUUUUUUCUUGCACUCUGUGCAUCAUGUUAAAAGUAAACAUUGGAGAACUGAGAAAAGCAGUACAAAGCAUUUACUCAUUUCUUUCUGUUGUGACCUUAUCAGCUUUUGACUGGGAUUGCACCAUUUCAUAGUUAAUAAAGGAAACAAAGUAUAUUGCUGCACUUUUAAGUUUUCAGAAGUGUUUAAAAAUUGCAUUGUUUUUAUUAUUUUUUUAAACUAUCAGUUAAAAUAGACUAAAACAUUCUUUCAAAAGAGGCAUCUAAAUGUGUUCCUAAUUUUGUAUAUGGGCUUAGGUUUUGUAACCAAUAAAAAGCUGCUAUCAAAUACUAUAAAACAUGCAAAAACUUAUUUUGGAAAUUAUCACACUGUCUUUUCAAAUUGAUUUAAAGGUUUUUCUGUCUUUGAUCAAAAUUUAACUAGUAGGACUACCCAUCAUAGUUUGAAAUAUGUUACUUAAGCAAACUAAGCUAAUGCAAUGAUCUUUGAAACUUGUGGAAGAAGGUUGACACUCAUAUUAAGUGGUAUGAAGGCAAAAGUGGUGCUUUUCAAAGACUGCCAAUUUCUAGCAGUUUUGUAGUUAGAGGAAGAUCAUUUCAGUAAAGCUAAAGGUCAAUUUACUCUGUCAGUUGUCUGAGUCAAAUGGCAUGUGUGUGUAUAUAUAAACACUAAAUUAGGGCAUAAAUGAAAAGGUAAUUCAAAUUGGGAAGCAAGCAGACUUUUUCAUAAAACCUUUUUUGUAACCCUUGCCUGCUGAAGCUUCCAGAAGACUUGUUUUCCAGGUUGCAGAUAUUUAUGUUCUACCUGUUCAUUCAUCAUUGUCUUUUAAAGAUUUAAUAGCACAGAAUGUUUAGGUGCUAUCUUGUCUUAUUCUUUGCAUUUUAGGCUCGUCUGAAAAUGUCAUCCUUCGGGCUUUUAUAGUCACUUAGUUCAAACAAAAGCUAAGUCCCAUUUUCAAAAGUGAUUUAGGCAGUGGAGACCCAUCCUGCUCACUUUGAUUGUUGACAAUGUGAUUUAGGCUAUUGAGCUCUUUAGGUACGUUUUAAAAUUUUACUCUUAAAUUUUUAACGUGCAGCUGGUCCCACUUAUGAAAGUUUGUGAACUACUAGGUUAGGAUUUGUUGUGCAGUGUUUUUUUAAAGAAAAUUGCUUGUAUCUUUUACAAAGCAUCUUACAGGAAUGUCUUCCUUGUCUUUUUCAAGGUGACAUAGCUUUUCAGUUUUGCUUUUUUGGAUCUGUUAAGCAAUGGAUGUGUGAGGAGAUGCAUUGAUAGAUGUGUUUUUUCCCCUAAUUUAAUUCAAAGGAGUUUAAAUGGUUCCAGCCCCAAAUUUGACCACCUUAUUCUAAUCUAAUGUAGAAUAUUUAAAAUAGAUACUAAAUCCUUUAAAAAGCUUUGUACCUAACUACCUUUGUUCAGUUGAGUUCCUCUGUUAGUGUUGCAGUAGAAGUGAACCUUUUUUCUGAGAUACUGAUUAUACUUAUGCUCAUAAACAGGAAAAAAAUGAUGUAUUAAACUGGAAACAGAACUAUUUGCAAGAUGAAAGUGUAAGAUUAAUAGCAUGUGGGUAUAUUAUCCACAUUUCUAAAACAGUAUGAAACCACUAGAGGUUGUAUUUUAACAUUCUUUGCUUUUGAGAGACAGUUGGCAAAUAGAGAUAAUCAGAUAUACAGAAUAUUUUGGAUUGUCUUGUCUUUGUAAAUCUAGAAAAUUUAUAAUUGCUUUGGUUUUACUUUUUGAUUAAGCUUUACCAUAAACUGUUUGGUGAUAUACUUAAAUACAGUAGUUGAAGUAAAUAUAUGCUACAUACCAGAAACUUUAUGAGAAGAAUGUUAAUUUUGUAAUGUCAAGCAAUGAGAAUUUAGUUUGGGCGUGCAAACGUUAAUUCUUCUCCCUUGUUCAUCAUCUUCUCCCUAUGAUAUAGUCUUUAACUACAUGGUCACAUACUGUAUUUUUCCAGAAUAUGCCACAUUUUAGCGAUUUUUCUCUUUAUUCUCCACAUUCAGUGUGUGGCCCUGUACUUUGUAUAUUGCAUACCAUAUAAACCCUACACUGAUUACAUUAAUUUCCUUAUGGGUGGUUCUCUCAGCCAUAGUAUCUGCUUCACAAACAUUAACUUAAUCUCACUGGGCUGUUGUGAAGAUUAAGUGGUGACGUUAUCUCCAUUUUAUAGCUGGGGAACUAAGGCAUGGAGAAAGGCUAGAUUUCUUUAGCCUUUAGACUUCUUUUUAAAUCACUAAUUUUGAAACACCUAGGGCUGGAUUUUUCAGAGUGCUUAGCAUUUAUAUAGCACUUUAUGUAUUCAAAGCACUUAUAUAUUCAGCUUCAGUUGCAGCUGUGAGCACUCAGUAAUUUAACAAAUCUGGGCUCAGGUGUGUCCAGGUUGGGCACCCAGAAAAUGGGGAAUACACAAUGACCAUCAGUUUGGUUUCAGUGACUUAACCAGCAUCACAGAGAAACACUGGCAAAAACAGGGAUAUAAUGCAGUAUCCAGGUCAACAUUCAGUUACCUUAAUCAUAAGACUAUCCUUUUUCUUCCAGCAAUCCCUUGUCUCAUUAACUACACACUUCUGACAUCUGCACCAAAUGAAGCAGUAUCCUACAGACAAGAGCUUCCUGCGCCACCCUGAGUCACUACCAGAGCAUCUCUGGUCUGUCUCUCUUCCAUCCAUCCUUGAUUCCUGCAAUUCUCUGUUCUCAGUCUUCCCCCAAUAAAUGUCAUCCCUCCAUGUUCCAAUAUAGUAGCUUCUCACCGCCUUGAUGUCAGCAAAAACAAAGUCAACAAAAAUGUGUGUCCGCUAUUGGUUCCAGUGCCACUCUGGCUGACAGGUCACUAAGUAAUGGCAGGGAAAGUCCUAUUCAGUUUUAGCAAUCUCAAUCGGAAGUGUAAGACUGGCCUGGAAGAACUUUAGUGAAAGAGCAUGCUCAAUGUAUCUGGAAUCUGAGAAUUUAUCUACCAAACCUUCACAUGACUCCUCUUUACCGAACACAGGCAAACAGAUUUUUUGGAGGCUGAUAGCUUGACCAAAUAGUGGCAGUUUUUUAUGGGCACAGAAAAAGGCACAUCCGUGUCACCAGUCACCUCCUGCCAAACUUUGUGCUUUGGAACAGGCACUUGCAGGCCUGCUGGAGCUCCUAAAUGUAAUGGCUGUAAGAAUUAGUUUUUACUUGGGCAAAAUCAUGUUUUUCUAUUAAGCUUUUUAAGCCAAAACUUAAUUUCCCCUACAGUUACAUGAGAAUCUGAGCUUUCAUUUUUGGUUCUUAUAAUUUCAAAUAGAAACUGGAAAACAUUAAAAGGCUCAAACUACAAGACAGACAAACCCCCUCAAUUUAUUAUUUUAAAAAAUUCAUUUAAUUAAAUCUCCUAGAAGGAAUGGAUUGGAGUUGGAAUUUGAUACACGAUUUUUGUAGGUUUUGGGGUUGGAAGUUUUUUGUAGAUUUGAUCCUAUCCGAGCUAAAAAAGUGUUCUCUCCAUUUCUGCAUUCUGAUAGGCUUUACCUGGACUUUUUGAGUGGGAAGUAGCAUGCACUGAAAAUUUUGGCACUAAGGAUUCUUGGAAUCUUCUGCUUUUCUGAACUGGUCAAAAGAACAAUUUGCUAAUGUGACUAAAUGGUUUCAUAACUCUGAGUAUAGAAACCAAUAUGGUGAUGGACAGGGCAAAAAGUCUCAACAUUUCUGACGGCUUCAAGGUCUCUGAUCUGAAGGCUUGUCUACACAUAGAGUUGUUUCUGAUAAAUUCCGUAUGUAGAAACUUAUAAUGGAAUAAGAUUGUCCAUACAUGGAGUUAAUCAAGAACAACUCCAUGUGUAGACAAGCAUACAGCUGCCACUGUGACUUCUGUUAAAUGAGGAAGUCUGAUACAUAUGUAAACAAAGGACUUUCAAUGCCAACUAACACCUUGGACAAGUCACUACAGCAGCCUACAAAAGAUGUAACUCUUUUAUUUAAUGUUUCAGCAGAUGGGUAAUUUCUGCUGGCCCCACCCAAUGGACCUCUGCUGUCAGUCAGGCCAAACCUGAUAAUGGCUUUUGAGAUCAGAGGACAGGCUGGUGCCCUCAGCCAACACACCUCCACCUAAGCAGGGCUGCUAGAAUCACUGCUGCUCUGCUUCCCAAGUAUAUACCUUCUGCAUUUUAAAAAUGACUGGGAAGUUUCAUCAGUUAUUCAUUAAGUACAAGAACUCGAGAGACAAGAUGGGAGGGCCCCUUUGUG